rnacentral:rRNA from 1 species
GAUGAACGCUAGCGGCAGGCCUAAUACAUGCAAGACGAACGGUAAGAUUUUUAGCAAUAAGAAUCCUAGAGUGUCGUAAGGGUGCGUAACACGUAUGCAAUCUGCCCUCAACAGGAGGAUAGCUCCCCGAAAGGGGAAUUAACACUCCAUAAGAUUGCGGUUCGGCAUCGGACAGCAAUUAAAACUACGGUGGUUGAGGAUGAGCAUGCGCAUGAUUAGUUAGUUGGCGGGGUAAUGGCCCACCAAGACGAUGAUCAUUAGGGGAACUGAGAGGUUGAUCCCCCACACUGGCACUGAGAUACGGGCCAGACUCCUACGGGAGGCAGCAGUAGGGAAUAUUGGACAAUGGGUGCGAGUCUGAUCCAGCCAUGCCGCGUGCAGGAAGACGGCCUUCUGGGUUGUAAACUGCUUUUGCCAGGGGAUAAAACGUCUCUGCGGAGAUAAUUGAAGGCACCUGGUGAAUAAGCCACGGCUAACUACGUGCCAGCCGCCGCGGUAAAAC